CAUGCAAGUCGAACGAAGUAGCAAUACUUAGUGGCAGACGGGUGAGUAACAUGUAGGUAUCUGCCCUUUGGCCUGGAAUAACACGAGGAAACUUGUGCUAAUACCGGAUAAGUCUUCACGGAGAAAGCUUUAUGCACCAUUGGAUGAGCCUGCACUUGAUUAGUUUGUUGGUGGGGUAAUGGCCUACCAAGACUGUGAUCAAUAGCUGAUUUGAGAGGAUGAUCAGCCACAUUGGGACUGAGACACGGCCCAAACUCCUACGGGAGGCAGCAGUGGGGAAUCUUGCACAAUGGAGGAAACUCUGAUGCAGCGAUGCCGCGUGAGUGAAGAAGGCCCUUGGGUUGUAAAGCUCUUUCGUCGGGGAAGAAAAUGACUGUACCCGAAUAAGAAGGUCCGGCUAACUUCGUGCCAGCAGCCGCGGUAAUACGAAGGGACCUAGCGUAGUUCGGAAUUACUGGGCUUAAAGAGUUCGUAGGUGGUUGAAAAAGUUAGUGGUGAAAUCCCAGAGCUUAACUCUGGAACUGCCAUUAAAACUUUUCAGCUAGAGUAUGAUAGAGGAAAGCAGAAUUUCUAGUGUAGAGGUGAAAUUCGUAGAUAUUAGAAAGAAUACCAAUUGCGAAGGCAGCUUUCUGGAUCAUAACUGACACUGAGGAACGAAAGCAUGGGUAGCGAAGAGGAUUAGAUACCCUCGUAGUCCAUGCCGUAAACGAUGUGUGUUAGACGUUGGAAAUUUAUUUUCAGUGUCGCAGGGAAACCGAUAAACACACCGCCUGGGGAGUACGACCGCAAGGUUAAGACUCAAAUGAAUUGACGGGGACCCGCACAAGUAGUGAGCAUGUGGGUUUAAUUCGAAGAUACGCGCAGAACCUUACCAACACUUGACAUGUUCGUCGCGACUCUAGAGAUUAGAGUUUU
rnacentral:rRNA from 1 species